rnacentral:rRNA from 1 species
AUACGGAGGAUGCGAGCGUUAUCCGGAUUUAUUGGGUUUAAAGGGAGCGUAGGUGGGAUAUUAAGUCAGCUGUGAAAGUUUGGGGCUCAACCUUAAAAUUGCAGUUGAUACUGGUUUCCUUGAGUACGGUACAGGUGGGCGGAAUUCGUGGUGUAGCGGUGAAAUGCUUAGAUAUCACGAAGAACUCCGAUCGCGAAGGCAGCUCACCGGGCCGGAACUGACACUGAUGCUCGAAAGUGCGGGUAUCAAACAGGAUUAGAUACCCUGGUAGUCCGCACAGUAAACGAUGAAUACUCGCUGUUUGCGAUACAUUGUAAGCGGCACAGCGAAAGCGUUAAGUGAUCCACCUGGGGAGUACGCCGGCAACGGUGAAACUCAAAGGAAUUGACGGGG